rnacentral:rRNA from 1 species
GGGGGGGGGGGGGGGGGGGGUGGGGGGGGGGGGGGGGGGGGGGGGGGGGGGGCGGUUGGGGGGGGCUCGGGUGGUGAACGGGUGAGUGACGCGUGAGUAACCUGCCCUUGACUUUGGGGUAACUUCGGGAAACUGGGGCUGAUACCGGCUAGGCGCUCCUGCUGCAUGGUGGGGGUUGGAAAGUUUCGGCGGUUGGGGAUGGACUCGCGGCUUAUCAGCUUGUUGGUGGGGUAGUGGCUUACCAAGGCUUUGACGGGUAGCCGGCCUGAGAGGGUGACCGGCCACAUUGGGACUGAGAUACGGCCCAGACGCCUACGGGAGGCAGCAGUGGGGAAUAUUGCACAAUGGGCGGAAGCCUGAUGCAGCAACGCCGCGUGCGGGAUGACGGCCUUCGGGUUGUAAACCGCUUUCGCCUGUGACGAAGCGUGAGUGACGGUAAUGGGUAAAGAAGCACCGGCUAACUACGUG